AUGGGCCCACCAGGAGCCUCCGCUGCACCUGCGCUUCUUCAAGGAGACAAGGAGGGGAGGAGGAGGAGGAGGAGGAGGAGGAGCAGGAGGAGCAGGAGAAAGAAGAGGAGGAAGAGGAGGAGGAGCAGGAAAAGGAGGAAAAGGAAAGCGGAAGAGGAGCAGAAGGAGGAAGAAGAGAAGAAAGGAGGAGGAAGACAAGGAGGAGGAAGAGGAGAAGGAAGAGGAGCAGCAGCAGGAGGGGGAGGAGGAGGCGGGAGUGGGGCGGCCGUGGCUGCGGCUGUUCCCCGUCAGAGCAGGACAACCGGACGCGCGGUCCCGCCAUCCCCGGGGACCAGGGUGACCCAGGGGCUGCCCCGAGGGCACCUCCUCAGGGAGGACGAGGCCAGAGGACACGGUCCGGAAAGGGCAGGCUGCACCCGCUGUGAGGGCCCCGGGCUCGGGGUGGGGGUCGGGGGGGGGGGGCAGCCCCGGGAAGGAGGGAGGAGGAGCCCCCGGGAGCGGAGGGGGGAGGGAGGAGGGGGAGGGGAGGCUGGGUGUGGUGGGUGUUGCCCUCCCCGCCCCUCCCCCCGCCCGGAGCGCACAGCCCCCUGGGAGGUGCGGGCCCGCAGAGGCCUCGGGCCGGGGAGGCCGGGCCGCGGGUCGGUGCCGGGAGCGCGGCCCGUGGGGUCGAGUCGCGGGCGGGCGUCCCCGGGACGGGCAUCCUCCCGCUCAGCCGUUCUAGAACGUUCUCGAGGUGACGUCGCGGCCUCGGAGGCGCGGGGUCAGACGCCGGCCCCUCAGAGGCCGCGGCCCCGCGUGAGCCCGGCGCGCCCGGAAGUGCUGAGGAGCCGCGCAGGCUGCCCCGGGGCCCCGCCCCCCGCCCCCGCGGCCGGAAGGAAGAGCCGGAGGAGCCGGAAGAGCCUUGGCCCGCGACCCCGCGACCUUCCUCCCGGCGGGACGGCUCCUCAGCGAGGGCUGGGGCGGCUGGCGGCCGGGGCCUCGGGUCGGCGUCGCGUCAGGCGGUGUGGACGGAGGCCCGGGCGGCGCGGGGGGCCGCGGGGACGGCGCGGGCACGGACUGCGGGGACGGACAGCGGCCGCCGUGACCCAGGAGGACGCCGGGCCGGGGGGGGGGGGGGGGGGGGCGCCCGCGCCGCCGCCACGUGCGCACACCCCAGGUCACCGACGGGACGGGCUGCCGCGGCCGAGGGGCCUCCCCUCCCCGCCGGGCCCGACCGCGGGGUCACGCCCAGGACCGGGGCGCGUCGGAGGCCGGGACACCGCGGAGCGGACGGCUGAGGCGGCGGGCGCAACGGGGGAGGCCCGGCCGCGAGCAGCCCCGUGGCAGCAGCUCCCGACACCCCUUGAGGCAGGGAAGGCGCCGCCGCCUCAGUCCCGCCGCGUCUCCCGGGCGAGGCCGCUGGGGGGUGAGGUGCGCCGGGCACAGACGCCUCCCGCCCCGCCCCGCCCCGCCCCGCCCCGCCCCGCCCCGCCGCGCCGUCGGCCUUGCCCCCGCACAGAAGUCCGCACGCCCCGCGAGCCGGGGUGA
rnacentral:lncRNA from 1 species